UUUUGCUGAUGACCACAUGCUUGGGCUACAAGUCACUGAGAAAUCAAGCUGGAGCUGAGCUGAAAAC